GUCAAAAGUUUCUAGUUAGAUUUUGUAAUCAGACUUAAUCACCAUCUUCAUGAUGAUCCUAUGGUCAGAAGCUAUUUAUGAGUUAGUUAUGUAAAUUCAUGCCUUAAAUUUUCAACUCUUGAAAAUAUGAAUUAACAUUCCUACUAACUCAAAGGAUGUAUCACAGACAUAAUGUACACAAUGUGAUAGUAGAAUAACUCUUUUAUUCAUUUAUAGUCAAAAUUAUAAAUUUGCCCUUACAUUUGU
rnacentral:lncRNA from 1 species